rnacentral:tRNA from 1 species
GCAGUCGUGGCCGAGUGAUUAAGGCGAUGGACUCGAAAUACAUUGGGGUCUCCCCGCACAGGUUCGAAUCCUGCCGGCUGCG